AAGAAGUCCAUAAUCCAACUGCAAAUGGAUGUGCAGAAACCAGGUCACUGAGCUUAGCUAUCAAUGAUUAAUGUUAAUAUAAAUGUAGAAGGUGCAUGGCAGUGCUCAGGCAAUGCAGGUCUUCUGAGGCUGUAUACAUCUCAUAAGGAUGAAACAUGGUGGACUAGGGAGCACACACUAUGACAGAUGCAGCAACAUCCUGCUGGAAGGAAACGGGACAGAGGAGGAAUGAAACCCAGAUUGGGAUGACCACUGAAAUGGAAGCUGUAGAAGAUCCAGAAACACCAGGAGAAUAUCACAGGAGAAGAUCUCAGGAGGCUGGGAGUGCCACAGAUGCUGAUAAGGUCCAACACUUUGCCCCAGGUCAUAAACAGCAAAUGGAAAAUACAGCAAACUGUGACAGUAGGUGCACUUUCUGACCCAUGCUGUGGGAAGACACAUUUGGGAGGUGUGAAUGGCACGGUCUCCUGUCGGGAAAGCAAUAAAAGGUCCAGGCUGUUUCAAGAAAACCUCCUGUGCCAUUUCAAGCUUUUGAUCUCUGUUCCUGUCGCUCACAUUCUUUUACCCAAAGCCUGCUCACUUAGUUUAGUGAGUCUGAAGAUCUGUCGAUUUCACUUGUGGAUUCGUCCUAAUCCGCUUCUUGUUUUUAAUAAACACCCUGCAUGGUUUCCGGCUCAAUGCUUCAUACCUAAUAACCACAAUCCUGUGUAUUCAGGUCAGCAAGCACUCUCUACUCAUGAUAGUGAGUCAUGCUAGUUCAGCGUACUCUUGUAAGAUUUGCAAAUUUGGCAAUUUGCUUAGAGACAGAGAAAGGAGAAGGCGCGAGUCCCUUUUUUUAGAACAAAAAUAUAAAUAUUCAAACUCGUAAGCAAAGCGUACGCUUUUAUGGUACACAUGUACCAUUGUGUGUCUUAUUGUGUGUGUAGCAAAACACUGUGAAUUAAAUAGUGCUAUAAAGAGAGACAGAGACUUCCAGGUUCUGCAAAUUCAUGAUGUUUUUCUCAUAUUAGUUUGGUUCAUCAUUGGUUUUAAGGUGUAUUUUCUUAAUCCAAGAGAUUAGGAAUUUAAAAGAAAGGAUUUUAAUUGUCCAGAUUUCUUUCUCUGGCUCAGUGGCUCAAGUUUAAAAUAUGCAGAUGUAUGGAAAAAAACACAACCACCACCACAACCCCCACCAACAACAACAACAUCAACACAACUAUAAGCUUUAUAACAACAGUAUACUACAGUUUGGGAAGCAGACUGGCAGCAUAUAAUAUUAUAUAGGAGCUAAAACAGGGUUUCUUUAUACAGCCUGGAACCCAUUUACACAUAAAAUAAAUUUCACAGAGUACUUUAAACAUGUUUAUUGCAGCUGCAGAGCUUCUUAUUCUGGGACCUUCAGCCAACAGUAGUGUUUGUGCCAGUCAGGGUGCAAGGAUUGCAUUGUUUUAGUACAGUUUCAUUUACAGAAGUGAAACAAUGACUUUUAUAGUGUCUACUGGCACCAAUGCUGCUUUUCCACCAUAUUUUUGCCAGACCCACAAACUAUACAAGACCCACAAUAUAAAAGUGUGUCUUAGGAGCAGGCUCUAGGUCCUGAGGAGCAAUUAAAGUGAUGAUCAAAAAAUGAAUGUUGUUCUACUUAAAGCCAAAUGUAAUGCAUGUGUGUGUGUGUGUGUGACAUAAGCGGAACAAUGUGUUUCUUACAAAGACACCACCUUAGGACAGGAAUAAUACUGUAGGCCUGAAAAGGGGUGACUUGUUCACCGUUUGCAUAAAAGGACUGGAGACUGUGUGUCUCUCUUUUUCUUUUUUUUUUUCCUUUUUUUUCUUUUUUUUACAGAUUAAACACCCAUCCUUUAGAAAUGUUCUCAUGUUACAAGCUUUGUGACUUUUCACAUUUGUCACAGCAGGGGAGAAAGGCAGCAGAGUAGAGUAGAAAAUAUAAGACAAUAACUGAGUGGACAGUGAGGAAUAGAAAAUCUACAGGUGUAACAAGUGUGUGUGUGAGAGAGCGAGAGAGAGAGAGAGAGAGAGAGAGAGAGUAAUUAUCUAACAAUGAAGGACGCUUCUCAUUAGAGGCUUUGGUUCAGCUUCAUUACUGAGUAAUUCAUCAAUUUCUGAUGAACGGAUGCUGAAGGAUCAUAUAUAGAGACUAUUGUUUCACUCUCUUCACUCUCUGUCUGUCUCUCUCUCUCUCUCUCUCUCUCACACACACACACACACACAGUCUAGGAGUAAAUAUCACUAUUAUACUUAACCUCUUCCAUGGUUACUUUCUUUCUGAUGUACUACUCUCUCUCUCUCUCUCUCUCUCUCUCUGUGUGUGUGUGUGUGUGUCUCUUUGUACCUUUUUAAGAAUAUGAAUAAAAAGAAAUAAAUGAAUAAAUGAAAGAAUAUGAAUGAAACCGGGAUCGUUUCUAGUUGUUCAGUCUUGUGUGGAAAGAGCAGAUCCCUGGGCCUGAGCCUCCUUGAACAUGUGCUAGUACAAUAAUGGGACUGAAUGUAUAUUGGUGUUUAUUUUUAUUGCGUCAUUCUACGUUUACUAAUGAGGAUCAGUGGAAAUUAUGAUAUUAAUCCAUCACCAUACCUCCAGCGAUUUCUGUGCACUCAAAUGAUAUAAACUGUUAGAAAACAUUCACAUUCUUUUUGCAAUUAAUUCAUUGCAGUUAAUUAAUACAUCAACUAAUACAUGUGUGUGAACAUUUAUUUAGACAUGACUUCACGAGACUCACGUCAUAGUUAAGGUUAAUUCUUCAUUAGCACAUGCCUUAACUCAAAUUUAAGUAAGAACUUAUUAUUAGUCUUAGCAUUAGUUAGUAAAAGUGUUAAAGAUAUCCUAAUCUUUUCAGAGACCAGUUCUGAAAUUCUGAAAUUCUGUAGCGAUUAAACAUCUGCUUAUUUCAUCCACAACAACGAUGUGACUUUAGAGAAGCUGAGAGCAACAAGGAAAAGCUCAAAUGUUCAGACAACCAACCAAAUUAUCAGUCUUUUGAGUUCAUGAGGUUGUUUAAAUUCCGACUAUUUGAGCUUCACAAUAUUUAUUUAAAUCUAAUCACAGCACUGGAAAAAGGAGAGGUCUCCGAGAAGAAGCUCUCAGUACUGUAAGUACCUGCCUGUUUCACUGCUUCUUCUGAUGAGUUCUUGUGUGCUUUUCUUAUUCAUGAAUAGGUUUGCGGUUUGCUGUUUUUUUGAUGGAAAGAUUUGAGCUCCGAUCCCAGGAGAGCUCAACUGCUAUAGCCUUGAGCAAGACCCUGAACCCAUGACUCCUCAGCGCCAUGUCUGGACUGGCCUUUAGCUUAGUACAUCACAAAUCCUCCUUCCUCCGAACAAAAAAACUGAGAUCAUUUACACUUACAUAAACAUCAUUGCAGAGACAUUACACACAGCCUGUUUACUGUUAAUGCCGAAAUGUUCACACAGAGGAUCCUGACUGCUCUGGAAGAUGAUGCUUCGGGGAAGAGUGUCACGUCCAGCUCAGGUGUGUAGCUUUGUUUAAUAGCUUUUAUCUGCAUGUUCUCACUAACUAAAGUGCACAUGGAGUUUUUAAAUGUUCUUAAUGAAUGCUGUAAUGAAAUAAUAGUGCUUUUGAUGUGAAGUACUACUUCAGGGUGAUUAUAAACUCCAGGUAAACAGAAUCCUGGGUUAUGUAGUUAGAGGUUUCACACUGCUCAUACGUUAUCUGGGAUUAGCAAUUAAUAAACAAUUAACAAUUUAAAAAUUGACAUUUCACAUUUCUAAUUCACAUUCACAUUUUUUGGAUCAUUUAAUGCACAACACAGAUCUUCCAUUUGAAAUACUUGCUCUUAAACUGGAGUUUAGUGUCUGUGUGUAGGUUUAAACCUCAUGUGAGUUGAUUAAUAAAUGUUUUUCUUAACAGAAAAGUUUGAACAUGUCCCAAAAGAUAAAGAAGCUCCAUGAUACAACUCUAAGAAAUAAACUCCACUGCAAUGGGCUUUAAUUAUAAAUAUAUAUAAAUCUGUUGUCUGUCUCUCUCUAUCACCGCCUGUUUCUCUCUGUCUCCUUCUUUUGCUCUCUCUCUCUCUCUCUCUCUCUCUUCCUUGUUCACAUUCACAAUAGUAAUCUUUUUCUAAAACUUAAUCAGGACCGUGUUAUUGGUUACCAGCCUCCCAGCAGCAGCCAAUAGGAGGUCAGUUGUCAGGCAGCCUCAGCCGUCUUACGAGACAAUUAAUAAACAAUUAACAAUUUAAAAAUUGACAUUGUACACUGUACAUUUCUAAACUCUGGAUUAACUUUCCUCUGAAAGUCAACAACUGUGAUUGUAUGAAUACAGUGUCUGACCACUUUAAAAUAACGUCUUGCGCUUUUGUUUCAGUACACGCUUGACGCUUGGCCGGUUCUGCACUGUUUUUGUUCAUUUUUUGGGUCUUUUUCUCAUGUUGCUGACCAGGAGUUCAUUGAUAACCAGCUUACUCUAAUGUUUCACCCAGUUCCUUAAAGACUCUUAUUAUUAUUUCUGACUGCUCCAUCCAGUUUGUAAAAGUAUAAAUCAGUCUCCUCUUCUCUUCAUUUGCCACAUUUUCACCAUUUGGUGUUAUUUUUUUCCUCUCAAACACUUCAACUACAGUUUCCACAACACACAGGAUUUCUGUGACGCUGCUCAGUGUCUGGGUUUCUGUUCGCUAAGCAUCGAGUUGUAAUACACUAACAUCACAUCUUUUCACACUGUGCACAGAAGAAAAGCUCUAUACAAACUCGAUUUUAUAUAUUUAAUGUGUAACUCUAUUGAUAAUGUGGCUAAUAGUCGUGUGUGUGUAUGUAUAUCAGUGUUUGAGUCACAGCCCCUAUUCUCUCUGUGACACUAAAUCAGGACAACACUCCCCCAUCUCCCAAUAGGAUGUCAGACGUCUGUGUCCGUGUGCCCCAUCAAAAAAAAAGAGAAAAAGCAGCUAAACGUGUCAUCAUGACAGCAGAUUAGCCUGAUGAUGCUUUCGCAUGAAAGAUUGCGACUGCACCAUCUGUGGGCUAAAAUGAAUUUGUUCCAUCAGGGGUGACAGCAUGUACAAAUACAGAGCAAAGCAGCUGUAGCUCUCAUGUCCUCCAAGGACAAAAGACUUCCUGAACUGUUUUACACUAAUCUGCAUUGACAGGCAUUAAGGGUUAAUAAAUAGCUAAAAUGAUCUUGUUGCUAGCAUUCCUUCCCCUCAGACAGGGAUUAGCAGUCUGUAGAAAAGGAUGCAUGAGGGAUUCUAAAUGCUGCUCAUUCAACGCUGAUCAUUUCCUGUAAACAUGAAGGAUAUAUAUUAUUUCACGGUGAUUCACACACGAAUCUGUAGUUACUGCCUAAUUAAAGACAUUAUACUUGUCUGUAGUGGCAGCGGCAAUGAAACAUCGUUAGCGAACCACUUUCAGUUUAGAGGUUUAUGUUAUUCUUCUGUUUUUUACAGAGAUAUAAUUCCCCUUUGUGGUCUUGUAGGUCAGAAGGGUGAAGAUUUCAAUUUGAGACAAUUCCCAGACAAUCUACGUUAAUCCAUUCAGAGAACUGGAUCUUGUCUGAUAACACACACACACACACACAGACAGAGAGAGAGAGAGAGAAAUACAUAUAUUUCUGUAAAGUAUUUUCAAAGUUUUAUUAUAGAGUUUUAGUGAAUAAAACACAACUGAUGAUCGAGAAGAAAGCACCUUGGCUUCAUUUUUUUUAAACAAGAUGUUUACAAAAUGUGGUUUGUUCUAAAAGCAGCAGGAGGAGGAACAGAGAAACAAAGCAAAGCAGGAAGUGGAGCACAGCUGGACUGUUCUUUCAACAGCCUCCGACCUCCAAACAGACUGGGCAGGUCACGGAAAAAAAAAGGAAUGAAUUACUAUAAUAACAUACAGGGAAAAAUGUGAAUUAUCCAUGCUGUUGUGGUCUUAGUAAAACGUGUGUGUGUGUGUGUGUGUAUACACCCAGAAUAUCCUGUAAUUUGCAGUAAACCCACUGGAUAGAAGAUUGUGAG